rnacentral:rRNA from 1 species
UAUGGGAGCAGCAGUGGGGAAUAUUGCACAAUGGGCGCAAGCCUGAUGCAGCCAUGCCGCGUGUAUGAAGAAGGCCUUCGGGUUGUAAAGUACUUUCAGCGGGGAGGAAGGCGAUGCGGUUAAUAACCGCGUCGAUUGACGUUACCCGCAGAAGAAGCACCGGCUAACUCCGUGCCAGCAGCCGCGGUAAUACGGAGGGUGCAAGCGUUAAUCGGAAUUACUGGGCGUAAAGCGCACGCAGGCGGUCUGUUAAGUCAGAUGUGAAAUCCCCGGGCUUAACCUGGGAACUGCAUUUUGAAACUGGCAGGCUUGAGUCUUGUAGAGGGGGUAGAAUUCCAGGUGUAGCGGUGAAAUGCGUAGAGAUCUGGAGGAAUACCGGUGGCGAAGGCGGGCCCCUGGGACAAAGCUGACGCUCAGGUGCGAAAGCGUGGGGAGCAAACGAGGAUUAGAUAACC